GGGCCAGUAGCUCAAUUGGUAGAGCGCGCGCAUGGCAUGUGCGAGGUACGGGGUUCGAAACCCCGCUGGUCCACAA
rnacentral:tRNA from 1 species